AUGAGCCGUAUGCUUAGGUGAGACUAACCACCUCAAAAUGGCUCACCAUUGUAGAAAACCUCAAAACAAAGCCGAAUACGCCCAUUUAUUGGGCAGGUAGAGCUAUCCGCAGCAGGGUUAGAGUCACUUAGAUCAGAACUCUCUGAGUUUGCAGAAAGAGAAGCUUACCUCAAAGCCCAGGUUGGGCAGCUCUGCCUGUUGAACCACCUCCAGUAGACGAUGCUGAAGUAGAUGACUGGCUUCCUCGGUUUGUUGCCCUUCAAGGACCUUGUCUUUUCUUCUAUUUACUAUCAACAGACUUGAGCCCUCAAGAUUCUACUUUGCUAGCGGAUACUGUUGAAGUUGGUUCUUUGCUAAGCUACACAAGAGAGUUCGAUGAAACACAUCAUUGCUUUUAUAUCUUAACCCGUCAAGGUCUAAGGUGGAUUCUUGGUUGUCGGUUUUGCGCCAUGACUGUUGGUAGAUUGAGGAUUGUACACUGCUCUCUAUAGUUUUCAUUGUUCUAUGUACUGUGUACAAAAUGCUUCUCUGCAGAUGUAGCUAUAGACUAUAUGUUACUACUUUGUUAUGAGUUAGUUGGUGAACUGAACUUCUUUGUGUUGGAGGUUAGGGGGAACAACAUGCGUGGUCUUGGGCUUAUGUGUUAGAAAUGUAUCAGUACAAUUCGAUUAUAAUAAUUGUUUGACGUAUUUGUUAACAAAUCUGGGGGUGUAGCUCAUAUGGUAGAGCGUUUGCUUUGCAUGCGAGAGGCACGGGGUUCGAUAUCCCGCACCUCCAUUUUUUUAAAUGCAAUUUUGCUCAUUGUUUUAGACUUAUAGAGAGGGUAUUAGUUACUUCAGGCGAAAGAAAAUGGGAACUUUUCUCUCUUUCCAUUUGCCUAUACUAACAAUGCCUAUACUAACAAUGCCUUUCCUUAUGAUUUUCCAUUGAAUCCAAGUCCAAUCUGAAUAUUUCUUGGAAUAAUGGUCAUGUUGUGAGGUAUACAAUCUUGGAACGGGUAAUGGCACCUCGGUUCUAGAAAUGGUCUCUGCCUUUGAGAAGGCAUCAGGAAAGAAAAUGAUGGUCGGACGACGUCCUGGAGACGCUCAAUUUGUUUACUCCUCUACAUAGAAAGCAGAACGAGAGCUAAAUUGGAAGUAAGUUAGAGUUUUAUUUUGUCAACAGUUAUAUAAAGUAGAGGAAUUAUAAUAACUCGGAAGAUAUGACAAUCUAGUUGUUAGAUUUGUGAACGGAAAACAUGAACAAAUGCCUCAAAUACACGCACAACAUUGUCAAUCUAUGGAACUAGGCCAGUGAUAAUCCUUACGGCUACGAAACCUAUAAUGGCUCCUUAUAAUUCUCUCCCUUUUUCUGCAUUAAUUUUUCUUUACAAACACAUGAAGAAAUGCUGAUAAGAACCUCAAAUUUUACAAGGGAAUUGAGGAAAUUCAUGUACUACAGAAAACCCACAUUUAAAUCGUCAAUUAAACUCUUAUUAAUUUAUGUCUCGACAAUGUUCUAAUUUUAAAUACAGAAAGCCCAAAUGUAUUCUUUUUUUUUUUUUGGCGGAAAAGUCUCCAUAUUUUAUUAACUUCUUUCUAACAAAUUGAUUCUUGAGAUCAACCUGGUUGGAAGAGAGUGAACAUGGAAGAAAACAGUUUGACGAGAUCGGGCUUCUUUCGCAAGAAGGUCCGUUCGUGAGUUUAAAUCUCUAGAAAUAAAACUGAUAGAAAAGUAUGAAAAUUUAGAACUAAUAGAGCGAAAUUCAUCUAACUCAGCCAAUAAUGCUGGCCAUUCUUCAUAAUCUUGUUCAUCCUGGAGGAGUUUUGACUAGCUGAAGGCAGUCGGUUUUGAAAGACAUGGUUUGGUGGCCUAGAAGUAAGACAGAGUUCAUAGCCAGAAGAGGGUGCGAAAUUCUGCCUGGAUUGGAGAGACUGUUUGGUUACUACCGAAUGAACCAAACGAUUCUCUUCCUGCUUUGUCUUUGAAAUGAAAACCUCCUCCUAAGAUUCGAGCUUGCGCCACGAGGCGUCGACUCUGCAGGUGAUCCUUUGGAGAUCCACGGUAUCAGGCUGGGGAGAGGUUAGGCGUACGGAUUCCUCGUUAUCGCGCGGUUCUUGAGCUAUCUGGGCGAACCCAAAUGUAUUCAGGCGCCCAAAAUAAUAGCUUAUUGGCAAACUGUAAUGUUUAGUAUUUUAAACUAUGAAUCAUUAUGGGCUUAAGUCUAAAUUUUAGUACUCGUGUGAAAUGCCCAAGAAUAGUUUAAGCAUGAUUCUAAAUGACUUUUCUAUCAAAUUUUACAAAUCUUACAUCUUUACAGUAA